GGGAGCUUUAUUCCAUUUACCUUCACCUGUCUAGGGAGUGGCUGGAAACAAUCAGUGGAUUAUAUUGAUUUCAUGAAACUGGGCAGUUGUUUGCAAAAUGUAUGAAGUAUUAACACCUCCUCCCUCCAACUGCUGCCCAGACCAUCAGUAAUAGGCACAAGAGCUUCUCUGAAUGCAAAAUAGAAGAGAGGGAGCAGCACACAAACAGGACCAUGAAGAUAAGAAAACAGCUUGAUAUCUACCCAGGGACAGAAAAAUUUCCCUUCCUUCAAUGGAUGUUUUAAUACACUGGAUUAUUUUGGAAAUUUUUAAAAACGGAUUUUUAAAUGGAUUAUGGAUUUUCAUCACCAUGGACACUAUGGACACUAAUCUUCACCGAGGGAGUUGAGAAUUUAAUGCACUUUACAUAUUGUGUAAUUUGAAGAUUUUAAUAAUUAUAUAUGCUAAUUUGUUAAUUGAUCACUCUAUUUCUAAUGUCUACUACGGUUUCCACAUGCUUGACAAAGGGGCGUGACCCCGAAACGUUGCAGUCCACACAAUAAAUGAGCAGGUAACACUGCAGAUUGAAUGCCUGUGUGCCGAUCCUUCUUUGUUUUCUGCAUAAGGGAGGCUGC